rnacentral:rRNA from 1 species
CACGGGAUGACUCGUAGCGGCGAGUGAGCGGCAAAAGCUCAAAUUUGAAAUCUGGUAGUUCUGCUACCCGAGUUGUAAUUUGUAGAAAACUGUCUUUGUUAGGGUGCCUGUCUAAGUUCCUUGGAACAGGACGUCGCAGAGGGUGAGAAUCCCGUGUGAUGGGUGGCCCGAGCUUUUAAGGCGUUUUCGAAGAGUCGAGUUGUUUGGGAAUGCAGCUCUAAGUGGGUGGUAAAUUCCAUCUAAAGCUAAAUAUUGGCGAGAGACCGAUAGCGAACAAGUACAGUGAUGGAAAGAUGAAAAGAACUUUGAAAAGAGAGUGAAACAGUACGUGAAAUUGUUGAAAGGGAAGGGUAUUUGAUCCGACAUGGGAUUUACUCAUCAUUGCUCCUUGUGGGUGGUGCUCUGGGUUUUUUCUGGGCCAGAAUCAGUUUGUGUGGCGGGAUAAAGGCGUGAGGAAGUAGCUCUUCUGGAGCAAUAUAACUCAUGUUAAUACUGCCUAUGCGGACUGAGGAAUGCGGUUUUUACCAAGGAUUCUGGCAUAACGAUUAAAUACCGCCCGUAGUCCAAAAACGGAACAA